rnacentral:rRNA from 1 species
ACCCCAAUAAACCCUUUUUAUGUACCUGUAUCAGUCUGAAAAACAAACAAAAGUUAAAACUUUCAACAACGGAUCUCUUGGUUCUGGCAUCGAUGAAGAACGCAGCGAAAUGCGAUAAGUAGUGUGAAUUGCAGAAUUCAGUGAAUCAUCGAAUCUUUGAACGCACAUUGCGCCCUUUGGUAUUCCUUAGGGCAUGCCUGUUCGAGCGUCAUUUGAAACCUCAAGCUCAGCUUGGUGUUGGGUGUCUGUCCCCGCCUCCCGCGGGGACUCGCCUCAAAAUCAUUGGCGGCCGGUACGUUGGCUUCGAGCGCAGCAGAAACGCGAACUCGAGGCCCGGCGGAUCGGCGACCAGAAGUCACUUCUUCACAGUUUGACCUCGGAUCAGGUAGGGAUACCCGCUGAACUUAAG